GCACAACGCGAAGAACCUUACCAGGCCUUGACAUGCAGAGAACUUUCCAGAGAUGGAUUGGUGCCUUCGGGAACUCUGACACAGGUGCUGCAUGGCUGUCGUCAGCUCGUGUCGUGAGAUGUGGGUUAAGUCCCGCAACGAGCGCAACCCUAUUUCCAGUUGCCAGCGCGUAAAGGCGGGACUCUGGAGAGACUGCCGUGCCAACCGGAGGAAGUGGGAUGACGUCAAGUCAUCAUGGUCCUUACGUCUAGGGCUACACACGUGCUACAAUGGCCGGUACAGAGGGUAGCGAACCUGCAAGGGUGAGCCAAUCCCGAUAAAGCCGGUCUCAGUGCGGAUUGUCGUCUGCAACGUCGACGGCAUGAAGCUGGAAUCGCUAGUAAUCGUGGAUCAGCUACGCCACGGUGAAUACGUUCCCGGGUCUUGUACACACCGAGUCGUGGGGAGGGCGAA
rnacentral:rRNA from 1 species